rnacentral:lncRNA from 1 species
UAGAAAGCGCUUUUAGAAAGCGCUGUCUAAGGCAUACCUUAGAAAGCGCUUUCCACAAAAGCGCUGUCUAAGGUCUAAUUAAAAUAAAUUUUUUUGUAUUUUCGUUCUCAGUACGUAUUUUUGUUUUCCCUCUUCUUCACUCACCUCUCAGACACCCAAAACACGUUUUUUCCUUCAACGUUCGAAAACCCUAUUUUUUCCUCCGCCGUCACCCAAACAAGCGACCGCCGCCGUUUCCGCCACCGUUUCCGCCACCGCACGCACUCCUCAUCUCAACAAUCUCAACAAUCUCAACAAUCUCAACCCUAUUUCAACGUUCGAACUGGUAUGUUUCAAGAUACUUCUUUUUCUUUUUUAUUGUUUUUCCUGUGUUUGUGUGUUUUUUCUGAGCAUAUAUAUAAAGUUAAGAGUGGAAUUUGGGAAUGAGGGAAUUUGUGUAUAAGGUUAAGAGUGAUGAUGGGAAUGAGGGAAUUUUUCUGAGCAUAUAUAUAAGUAUGUUUCAAGAUACUUCUUUUUCUUUUUUUCACAGCAGUGAUGAUGUGGAUUACAAAUACAUAAGGUUAAGAGUGGAAUUUGGGAAUGAGGGAAUUUGUGUAUGUAUGUAUAUUGAACAUAUAAAAUGCAAUGUUAAUGAUAGUUGGUGAUUUGGGAAUGAGGGAAUUUGUGUAUGUAUGUAUAUUGAGUUGUGUAUGUAUAUGUGUAUGCAAUUUGAUUUUCUUUAUACUUGCUUGGUAUGCAUGAUGAAUUUUGAAAUGCAUUGCAUGUUGGGGCUGUCAUGACUAGGCUUGGAUUUAGAUGUUUAAUAUUGUUCAAACUUCAUGUUUCCUUAGUGAUUAUACUUGAAGAUUGAAUAGGUAGUUUUUUUUCUUUUUAACUGUGAAAGUGUUAUUCAUCUCACUUUCAUUCUAAAGGAACAAGAUUUCUCCCAUAAAAUGAUUGAACGAACUCUAAUAUAGUUAUAGGUAUAGUUAUAGGUAUAUUGUAAUAGAAAAAGUUUGAUUCUUGUAAUAUAAAAAAUGAAAGUGAUGAGGUAAUUAAAGUUGGUAUAUUGGCGUAUCGGAUACGUUAUUGAAGUUUA